rnacentral:rRNA from 1 species
UAGGGAAUCUUCGGCAAUGGGGGCAACCCUGACCGAGCAACGCCGCGUGAGUGAAGAAGGUUUUCGGAUCGUAAAGCUCUGUUGUAAGUCAAGAACGAGUGUGAGAGUGGAAAGUUCACACUGUGACGGUAGCUUACCAGAAAGGGACGGCUAACUACGUGCCAGCAGCCGCGGUAAUACGUAGGUCCCGAGCGUUGUCCGGAUUUAUUGGGCGUAAAGCGAGCGCAGGCGGUUUGAUAAGUCUGAAGUUAAAGGCUGUGGCUCAACCAUAGUUCGCUUUGGAAACUGUCAAACUUGAGUGCAGAAGGGGAGAGUGGAAUUCCAUGUGUAGCGGUGAAAUGCGUAGAUAUAUGGAGGAACACCGGUGGCGAAAGCGGCUCUCUGGUCUGUAACUGACGCUGAGGCUCGAAAGCGUGGGGAGCGAACAGGAUUAGAUACCCUGGUAGUCCACGCCGUNNCGAUGAGUGCUAGGUGUUGGAUCCUUUCCGGGAUUCAGUGCCGCAGCUAACGCAUUANCACUCCGCCUGGGGGAGUACGACCGCNAGGUUG